AGACUGGAAUUCACGGUGUAGCAGUGAAAUGCGUAGAUAUCGUGAGGAAGACCGGUGGCGAAGGCGAGUCUCUGGACAGAUCCUGACGCUGAGGCACGAAGGCUGGGGGAGCGAACAGGAUUAGAUACCCUGGUAGUCCCAGCAGUAAACGAUGUGAGCUUGAUGUGGGGGGAUUCGACCCCUUCCGUGUCGAAGCUAACGCGAUAAGCUCACCGCCUGAGGAGUACGGCCGCAAGGCUAAACUCAAAGAAAUUGACGGGGACCCGCACAAGCGGUGGAGUAUGUGGCUUAAUUCGAUGCAACGCGAAGAACCUUACCUGGCCUUGACAUGCAUUGUGUCGUCGGUGAAAGCCGGCUAGUCCUGGAAACAGGACGCUUUGCACAGGUGCUGCAUGGCUGUCGUCAGCUCGUGUCGUGAGAUGUUGGGUUAAGUCCCGCAACGAGCGCAACCCUUGUGGUCAGUUACUAACCGGCUUAGCCGGAGGACUCUGGCCAGACUGCCCUGUCAAACGGGGAGGAAGGUGGGGACGACGUCAAGUCAGUAUGGCCCUUAUGGCCAGGGCUGCACACGUACUACAAUGCCCGGUACAAUGUGAACCGAAACCGCGAGGUGGAGGAAAUCGCUCUUGAAAACCGGGCCCAGUUCGGAUUGGAGUCUGCAACUCGACUCCAUGAAGUCGGAAUCGCUAGUAAUGGCGU
rnacentral:rRNA from 1 species